ACAGCAUGGUGUGGGCAUUUACGAAUAAGGUUCUUAAGUCUCUCUUAUGUUUCAUGGAACAAUUCUCCAUCUAUUUGGAAAAAAUUAGUGAUGAUUUUUCUAAUUU